UACGAAGGGGGCUAGCGUUGCUCGGAAUCACUGGGCGUAAAGCGCACGUAGGCGGCUCUUUAAGUCGGAGGUGAAAUCCUGGAGCUCAACUCCAGAACUGCCUUCGAUACUGAAGAUCUUGAGUUCGGGAGAGGUGAGUGGAACUGCGAGUGUAGAGGUGAAAUUCGUAGAUAUUCGCAAGAACACCAGUGGCGAAGGCGGCUCACUGGCCCGAUACUGACGCUGAGGCACGAAAGCGUGGGGAGCAAACAGG
rnacentral:rRNA from 1 species